rnacentral:rRNA from 1 species
AUGAACGCUGGCGGCGUGCCUAAUACAUGCAAGUCGAGCGAACGGACGAGAAGCUUGCUUCUCUGAUGUUAGCGGCGGACGGGUGAGUAACACGUGGAUAACCUACCUAUAAGACUGGGAUAACUUCGGGAAACCGGAGCUAAUACCGGAUAAUAUUUUGAACCGCAUGGUUCAAAAGUGAAAGACGGUCUUGCUGUCACUUAUAGAUGGAUCCGCGCUGCAUUAGCUAGUUGGUAAGGUAACGGCUUACCAAGGCAACGAUGCAUAGCCGACCUGAGAGGGUGAUCGGCCACACGGGAACUGAGACACGGCCCAGACUCCUACGGGAGGCAGCAGUAGGGAAUCUUCCGCAAUGGGCGAAAGCCUGACGGAGCAACGCCGAGUGAGUGAUGAAGGUCUUCGGAUCGUAAAACUCUGUUAUUAGGGAAGAACAUAUGUGUAAGUAACUGUGCACAUCUUGACGGUACCUAAUCAGAAAGCCACGGCUAACUACGUG